rnacentral:rRNA from 1 species
GUUGUAUAGUCAAGUAAUUAAGUGCAUGUGGUGGAUGCCUUGGCAGUCAGAGGCGAUGAAAGACGUGAUAGCCUGCGAAAAGCUCCGGGGAGGCGGCAAAUAUCCUUUGAUCCGGAGAUGUCUGAAUGGGGGAACCCACCUACUUUAAGGUAGGUAUUGCAACAUGAAUACAUAGUGUUGCAAGGCGAACGAGGGGAAGUGAAACAUCUCAGUACCCUUAGGAAAAGAAAUCAAUUGAGAUUCCCUCAGUAGCGGCGAGCGAACGGGGAUCAGCCCAUUAAGUUAUGUGUGUUUUAGUGGAACGCUCUGGGAAGUGCGAACGUAGAGGGUGAUAUUCCCGUACACGAAAGGGCACACAUAAUGAUGACGAGUGGGGCGAGGCACGUGAAACCUUGUCUGAAUAUGGGGGGACCAUCCUCCAAGGCUAAAUACUCCUGACUGACCGAUAGUGAACCAGUACCGUGAGGGAAAGGCGAAAAGAACCCCUGUGAGGGGAGUGAAAUAGAUCCUGAAACCGCAUGCAUACAAGCAGUGGGAGCACCUUCGUGGUGUGACUGCGUACCUUUUGUAUAAUGGGUCAGCGACUUAUAUUCAGUAGCGAGGUUAACCGUAUAGGGGAGCCGUAGAGAAAUCGAGUCUUAAUAGGGCGUUUAGUUGCUGGGUAUAGACCCGAAACCAGGCGAUCUAUCCAUGAGCAGGUUGAAGGUUGGGUAACACUAACUGGAGGACCGAACCCACUGUCGUUGAAAAGCCAGGGGAUGACUUGUGGAUAGGGGUGAAAGGCUAAUCAAGCCUGGUGAUAGCUGGUUCUCCCCGAAAGCUAUUUAGGUAGCGCCUCGGACGAAUACCAUAGGGGGUAGAGCACUGUUUCGGCUAGGGGGUCAUCCCGACUUACCAAACCGAUGCAAACUCCGAAUACCUAUGAGUACUAUCCGGGAGACAGACUGCGGGUGCUAACGUCCGUAGUCAAGAGGAAAACAAUCCAGACCGCCAGCUAAGGCCCCAAAAUCAUAGUUAAGUGGGAAACGAUGUGGGAAGGCAUAGACAGCUAGGAGGUUGGCUUAGAAGCAGCCACCCUUUAAAGAAAGCGUAAUAGCUCACUAGUCGAGUCGGCCUGCGCGGAAGAUGUAACGGGGCUAAAACUAUGUGCCGAAGCUGCGGAUGUAUACUUUGUAUACGUGGUAGGGGAGCGUUCUGUAAGCCGAUGAAGGUGUGUUGAGAAGCAUGCUGGAGGUAUCAGAAGUGCGAAUGCUGACGUGAGUAACGACAAAACGGGUGAAAAACCCGUUCGCCGAAAGACCAAGGGUUCCAGUCCAACGUUAAUCGGGGCUGGGUGAGUCGACCCCUAAGGCGAGGCCGAAAGGCGUAGUCGAUGGGAAAAUGGUUAAUAUUCCAUUACUUCUGUGUAAUGCGAUGAGAGGACGGAGAAGGCUAAAUCAGCCUGGCGUUGGUUGUCCAGGUGAAAGGAUGUAGGCAUGUAUCUUAGGCAAAUCCGGGGUACUCUAUGCUGAGAUCUGAUAGCAAGCUGUACUUGUACAGCGAAGUGGUUGAUGCCAUGCUUCCAGGAAAAGUCUCUAAGCUUCAGUUACACAGGAAUCGUACCCGAAACCGACACAGGUGGUCAGGUCGAGUAGACCAAGGCGCUUGAGAGAACUCUGCUGAAGGAACUAGGCAAAAUGGUACCGUAACUUCGGGAGAAGGUACGCUGUUGUUGGUGAUGGAACUCGCUUCCUGAGCUGACGACAGCCGCAGAAACCAGGCCGCUGCAACUGUUUAUUAAAAACAUAGCACUCUGCAAACACGAAAGUGGACGUAUAGGGUGUGAUGCCUGCCCGGUGCUGGAAGGUUAAUUGAUGGGGUUAGCGUAAGCGAAGCUCUUGAUCGAAGCCCCAGUAAACGGCGGCCGUAACUAUAACGGUCCUAAGGUAGCGAAAUUCCUUGUCGGGUAAGUUCCGACCUGCACGAAUGGCAUAAUGAUGGCGGCGCUGUCUCCAGCAGAGGCUCAGUGAAAUCGAAAUCGCUGUGAAGAUGCAGUGUACCCGCGGCUAGACGGAAAGACCCCGUGAACCUUUACUGCAGCUUGACACUGAACUUUGACCUUACUUGUGUAGGAUAGGUGGGAGGCUUUGAAGCUGGAACGCUAGUUCCAGUGGAGCCGUCCUUGAAAUACCACCCUGGUAAUGUUGAGGUUCUAACUCUGUCCCGUGAUCCGGGACGAGGACCGUGUCUGGUGGGUAGUUUGACUGGGGCGGUCUCCUCCUAAAGAGUAACGGAGGAGUACGAAGGUGCGCUCAGCGUGGUCGGAAAUCACGCGUAGAGUAUAAAGGCAAAAGCGCGCUUAACUGCGAGACCCACAAGUCGAGCAGGUACGAAAGUAGGUCUUAGUGAUCCGGUGGUUCUGUAUGGAAGGGCCAUCGCUCAACGGAUAAAAGGUACUCUGGGGAUAACAGGCUGAUACCGCCCAAGAGUUCAUAUCGACGGCGGUGUUUGGCACCUCGAUGUCGGCUCAUCUCAUCCUGGGGCUGAAGCAGGUCCCAAGGGUAUGGCUGUUCGCCAUUUAAAGAGGUACGCGAGCUGGGUUUAGAACGUCGUGAGACAGUUCGGUCCCUAUCUACCGUGGGCGCUGGAAAUUUGAGAGGAUCUGCUCCUAGUACGAGAGGACCAGAGUGGACGAACCUCUGGUGUACCGGUUGUGACGCCAGUCGCAUCGCCGGGUAGCUAUGUUCGGAAGGGAUAACCGCUGAAAGCAUCUAAGCGGGAAGCCUACCUCAAGAUAAGAUUUCCCUAGGACUUUAUGUCCUCUAAAGAGCCGUUCGAGACUAGGACGUUGAUAGGUUGGAUGUGGAAGCAUAGUGAUAUGUGAAGCUGACCAAUACUAAUUGCUCGUGAGGCUUGACUAUACAACACCCAAGCAGUUG